rnacentral:rRNA from 1 species
AACGAACGCUGGCGGCAGGCCUAACACAUGCAAGUCGAACGCGCGUAGCAAUACGCGAGUGGCGCACGGGUGAGUAACACGUGGGAAUCAACCCUGAGGUUCGGAAUAACCGCGGGAAACUGCGGCUAAUACCGGAUGUCCCCUAUGGGGGAAAGAUUUAUCGCCUUGGGACGAGCCCGCGUCCGAUUAGCUAGUUGGUGAGGUAAUGGCUCACCAAGGCUAUGAUCGGUAGCNGGUCUGAGAGGAUGACCAGCCACACUGGAACUGAGAUACGGUCCAGACUCCUACGGGAGGCAGCAGUGGGGAAUAUUGGGCAAUGGAGGCAACU